UCAAGUGACUAAGUGCAUGUGGCGGAUGCCUUGGCGAUCACAGGCGAAGAAAGACGCGGCAGCCUGCGAAAAGCUGCGGGGAGCUGGCAAACGAGCUUUGAUCCGCAGAUAUCUGAAUGGGGGAACCCACACCGCAAGGUGUAUCCGUGACUGAAUACAUAGGUUACGGAGGCGAACGAGGAGAACUGAAACAUCUAAGUAUCCUCAGGAAAAGAAAUCAACCGAGAUUCCGGCAGUAGCGGCGAGCGAACCCGGAGGAGCCUAGCUUUUGAUAGUACGAACUUUAGCCGAAAGGUCCUGGAAAGGCCUGCUAUAGUGGGUGAUAGCCCCGUAGGCGAAAGAGUUCGUAUGGUACUAAGGAAGCGAGAAGUAGAGCGGGACACGUGGAAUCCUGUUCGAAGAUGGGGGGACCAUCCUCCAAGGCUAAAUACUCGUGAUCGACCGAUAGUGAACCAGUACCGUGAGGGAAAGGCGAAAAGAACCCCGGGAGGGGAGUGAAAUAGAACCUGAAACCGCAUGCAUACAAACAGUAGGAGCCUCGUCAGAGGUGACUGCGUACCUUUUGCAUAAUGGGUCAGCGACUUACAUUCUGUGGCGAGCUUAACCGAAUAGGGGAGGCGCAGCGAAAGCGAGUUCGAAAUGAGCGUCCAGUCGCAGGGUGUAGACCCGAAACCAGAUGAGCUAUCCAUGGCCAGGUUGAAGGUGUGGUAACACACACUGGAGGACCGAACCGACUAGUGUUGCAAAAUUAGCGGAUGAGCUGUGGAUAGGGGUGAAAGGCCAAACAAAUCUGGAGAUAGCUGGUUCUCCCCGAAAACUAUUGAGGUAGUGCCUCGUGUGUCGCUCCAGGGGGUAGAGCACUGUUUUGGCUAGGGGGACAUGGAGUCUUACCAAACCAAGGCAAACUCCGAAUACCUGGAAGCGUAAGCACGGGAGACAGAGCACCGGGUGCUAACGUCCGGACUCAAAAGGGAAACAACCCAGACCGCCGGCUAAGGUCCCCAAUAACAGCUAAGUGGAAAACGAAGUGGAAAGGCCGUGACAACCAGGAAGUUGGCUUAGAAGCAGCCAUCCUUCAAAGAAAGCGUAAUAGCUCACUGGUCGAGUCCUUCUGCGCGGAAGAUGUAACGGGGCUAAGCUGUUAACCGAAGCCGCGGAUGCACUGAUUAUUCAGUGCGUGGUAGGGGAGCGUUCUGUAAGUCUGCGAAGGCGGUUCGAGAGGACUGCUGGAGAUAUCAGAAGUGCGAAUGCUGACAUGAGUAACGUUAAAGCAGGUGAAAAGCCUGCUCGCCGUAAGCCCAAGGAUUCCUGCUCUACGUUCAUCGGAGCAGGGUGAGUCGGCUCCUAAGGUCAGGCCGAAAGGCGUAGCCGAUGGGAAUCAGGUUAAUAUUCCUGAACCUGCGUCAGAUGCGAUGGGGGGACGGAGCAUGAAAGAUCAUCCGGGUGUUGGAUGUCCCGGUUGAUGAGCGUAGGAGGUCUGCAGGCAAAUCCGCAGACGCAUCUCCAAGGCGAAGUCACGUGCCGCCACGGCGGCGAAGUGAUCGGAAGUGCUUCCAAGAAAAGCCUCUAAGCACCAGUCUGACGCGGACCGUACCGCAAACCGACACUGGUGGGCGAGCUGAAUAUGCUCAGGCGCUUGAGAGAACUCGGGAGAAGGAACUCGGCAAAUUGACACCGUAACUUCGGAAGAAGGUGUGCCGUAGUACCGUGAGAGGAGAGACACCUUGAGCGGGAAUCGGUCUCAGAGAAUAGGUGGCUGCGACUGUUUAUUAAAAACACAGCACUCUGCAAAGUCGAAAGACGACGUAUAGGGUGUGAUGCCUGCCCGGUGCUGGAAGAUUAAUUGAUGGGGUGAGAGCCCUUGAUCGAAGUCCCAGUAAACGGCGGCCGUAACUAUAACGGUCCUAAGGUAGCGAAAUUCCUUGUCGGGUAAGUUCCGACCUGCACGAAUGGCAUAACGAUGGCCACACUGUCUCCUCCCGAGACUCAGUGAAGUUGAAAUGUUUGUGAUGAUGCAAUCUACCCGCGGCUAGACGGAAAGACCCCAUGAACCUUUACUGCAGCUUUGCAUUGAACUGUGAACCGAUUUGUGUAGGAUAGGUGGGAGGCAGAGAAGAGGCCACGCCAGUGGUCUUGGAGCCGACCUUGAAAUACCACCCUGAUUUGUUUGCGGUUCUAACCACGGACAGUGAUCCUGUCUUGGGACCGUGCAUGGUAGGCAGUUUGACUGGGGCGGUCUCCUCCUAAAGGGUAACGGAGGAGUACGAAGGUACGCUAGGUACGGUCGGAAAUCGUGCUGAUAGUGCAAUGGCAAAAGCGUGCUUGACUGCGAGAGCAACAACUCGAGCAGAUGCGAAAGCAGGUCAUAGUGAUCCGGUGGCUCUGAAUGGAAGGGCCAUCGCUCAACGGAUAAAAGGUACUCUGGGGAUAACAGGCUGAUACUGAGAUAUUAGUUGCAGACUCCAUCUUUACACAAGUAGAAUAUGAAGUGCCGUCAAUAGUAGCAGUUCCCUUAUUUGUAGCAUAGUUACCUGAAACUGUUACUAUGCUACUUGAAGGCUUAGAAUCUGUGAAUGUUACCAAAACAGUACCCUCGAUAGGAGUUACAGUACUGCCACCUUCUGUUGUACCACCGGUAGAGCCACCAGUACUACCACCUUCGCCAGUUGCAUUGCUCUCACCGAAUACCUUAACAACACCAGAAGUAUAAGCGUCAAGAAUGCUUGCCAAAGCAGGCCAUGGCUGCUGAUGACCAUUUGUUACGACAGUCUCAUCAGGAAUAACGAAAUCAAUGUC
rnacentral:rRNA from 1 species